rnacentral:ncRNA from 24 species
GUUGCUUUAAUAUGGGUAAGACCUGUGAGAAUCAGGCACAGUCGCGCUACGGUAUUGAAAACUCUCGUUUCUCUAAGUCCGAAAACCAUAAGUAACUGUGUUUUGUCGCGUUAACAAAAAGGAGAAACUAUGACAAA